rnacentral:misc_RNA from 1 species
GAAAUGCGAUAAGUAGUGUGAAUUGCAGAAUUCAGUGAAUCAUCGAAUCUUUGAACGCACAUUGCGCCCUUUGGUAUUCCUUAAGGCAUGCCUGUUCGAGCGUCAUCUAAACCUUCAAGCCCUGCUUGGUGUUGGGUGCCUGUCCCGCCUCCGCGCGCGGACUCACCUCAAAUCCAUUGGCGGCCCCCGCGUCGGCCACGAGCGCAGCAGAAACGCGAACUCGUGAGCCCGUCCGGGCGGCUCCCAGAAGCUACACCCACCCAGUUUGACCUCGGAUCAGGUAGGGAUACCCGCUGAACUUAAGC